GUCUACGGCCAUGCCACCCUGAACGUGCCUGAUCCCGUCUGAUCUUGGAGGCUAAGCAGGGUCAGGCCUGAUUAGUAUUUGGAUGAGAGACCACCUAGGAAUUCCAGGUGCUGUAGGUU
rnacentral:rRNA from 1 species